AUUGAACGCUGGCGGCAGGCCUAACACAUGCAAGUCGAGCGAGUGGCGGACGGGUGAGUAAUGUCUGGGAAACUGCCUGAUGGAGGGGGAUAACUACUGGAAACGGUAGCUAAUACCGCAUACCAUCAGAUGUGCCCAGAUGGGAUUAGCUUGUAGGUGGGGUAAUGGCUCACCUAGGCGACGAUCCCUAGCUGGUCUGAGAGGAUGACCAGCAACACUGGAACAGAGACACGGUCCAGACUCCUACGGGAGGCAGCAGUGGGGAAUAUUGCACAAUGGGCGCAAGCCUGAUGCAGCCAUGCCGCUUGUGUGAAGAAGGCCUUCGGGUUGUAAAGCACUUUCAGCGAGGAGGCGUUACUCGCAGAAGAAGCACCGGCUAACUCCGUGCCAGCCGCCGCGGUAGUUC
rnacentral:rRNA from 1 species